ensembl:snRNA U6 U6 spliceosomal RNA
GUGCUCGCUUCAGCAGCACAUAUACUAAAAUUGGAAUGAUACAGAGAAGAUUAGCAUGG